GAUGAACGCUGGCGGCGUGCCUAAUACAUGCAAGUCGAGCGAACAGACGAGGAGCUUGCUCCUCUGACGUUAGCGGCGGACGGGUGAGUAACACGUGGAUAACCUACCUAUAAGACUGGGAUAACUUCGGGAAACCGGAGCUAAUACCGGAUAAUAUAUUGAACCGCAUGGUUCAAUAGUGAAAGACGGUUUUGCUGUCACUUAUAGAUGGAUCCGCGCCGCAUUAGCUAGUUGGUAAGGUAACGGCUUACCAAGGCAACGAUGCGUAGCCGACCUGAGAGGGUGAUCGGCCACACUGGAACUGAGACACGGUCCAGACUCCUGCGGGAGGCAGCAGUAGGGAAUCUUCCGCAAUGGGCGAAAGCCUGACGGAGCAACGCCGCGUGAGUGAUGAAGGCCUUCGGAUCGUAAAACUCUGUUAUUAGGGAAGAACAAAUGUGUAAGUAACUAUGCACGUCUUGACGGUACCUAAUCAGAAAGCCACGGCUAACUACGUG
rnacentral:rRNA from 1 species